rnacentral:rRNA from 1 species
GUCCACACCGUAAACGCUGUCUACUAGCUGUAUGUGUAUUUAAUACGUGUGUAGCGAAGCUAACGCGCUAAGUAGACCGCCUGGGGAGUACGGUCGCAAGAUUAAAACUCAAAUGAAUUGACGGGGGCCCGCACAAGCGGUGGAGCAUGUGGUUUAAUUCGAUGCAACGCGAAGAACCUUACCUACACUUGACAUUCAGCGAACUUAGCAGAGAUGCUUUGGUGCCUUCGGGAACGCUGGGACAGGUGCUGCAUGGCU